GAUGAACGCUGGCGGCGUGCCUAAUACAUGCAAGUCGAGCGAACGGACGAGAAGCUUGCUUCUCUGAUGUUAGCGGCGGACGGGUGAGUAACACGUGGAUAACCUACCUAUAAGACUGGGAUAACUUCGGGAAACCGGAGCUAAUACCGGAUAAUAUUUUGAACCGCAUGGUUCAAAAGUGAAAGACGGUCUUGCUGUCACUUAUAGAUGGAUCCGCGCUGCAUUCGCUAGUUGGUAAGGUAACGGCUUACCAAGGCAACGAUGCAUAGCCGACCUGAGAGGGUGAUCGGCCACACUGGAACUGAGACACGGUCCAGACUCCUACGGGAGGCAGCAGUAGGGAAUCUUCCGCAAUGGGCGAAAGCCUGACGGAGCAACGCCGCGUGAGUGAUGAAGGUCUUCGGAUCGUAAAACUCUGUUAUUAGGGAAGAACAUAUGUGUAAGUAACUGUGCACAUCUUGACGGUACCUAAUCAGAAAGCCACGGCUAACUACGUG
rnacentral:rRNA from 1 species